UGCCGAGACAUGGUGGCUGUGGUGAACGGUGCUGCUAAGACAUGGUGGCUGUGGUGGACGGUGCUGCUGAGACAUGGUGGCUGUGGUGAACGGUGCCGAGACAUGGUGGCUGUGGUGGACGGUGCCGAGACAUGGUGGCUGUGGUGGACGGUGCCGAGACAUGGUGGCUGUGGUGGACGGUGCCGAGACAUGGUGGCUGUGGUGGACGGUGCCGAGACAUGGUGGCUGUGGUGAACGGUGCUGUCGAGACAUGGUGGCUGUGGUGGAUGGUGCUGCUGAGACAUGGUGGCUGUGGUGAACGGUGCUGAGACAUGGUGGCUGUGGUGAACGGUGCUGCCGAGACAUGGUGGCUGUGGUGGACGGUGCUGAGACACGGUGGCUGUGGUGAACGGUGCUGCCGAGACAUGGUGGCUGUGGUGGACGGUGCUGCUGAGACAUGGUGGCUGUGGUGGAUGGUGCCGAGACAUGGUGGCUGUGGUGAACGGUGCUGCUGAGACAUGGUGGCUAUGGUGAACGGUGCUGAGACAUGGUGGCUGUGGUGGACGGUGCUGCUGAGACAUGGUGGCUGUGGUGAACGGUGCUGAGACAUGGGGCUGUGGUGAAUGGUGCUGCCGAGACAUGGUGGCUGUGGUGAACGGUGCUGCUAAUGUGUCUGGAAUUGGUGGAUUCUUGGUCUCACUGACUUCAAGAUUGAAGCCGCAGACCCUCGCAAUGAGUGUUACAGUUCUUAAAGAUGGUGUGUCCGGAGUUUGUUCCUUCUGAUGUUCGG
rnacentral:lncRNA from 1 species